rnacentral:rRNA from 1 species
UAGCAAACAGGANNNNNNACCCUGGUAGUCCACGCCGUAAACGAUGAUUACUAGGUGUGGGGGGACUGACCCCUUCCGUGCCGGAGUUAACACAAUAAGUAAUCCACCUGGGGAGUACGACCGCAAGGUUGAAACUCAAAGGAAUUGACGGGGGCCCGCACAAGCAGUGGAGUAUGUGGUUUAAUUCGAAGCAACGCGAAGAACCUUACCAGGUCUUGACAUCGAGUGACGAACUUAGAGAUAAGUUUUUCCUUCGGGACACGAAGACAGGUGGUGCAUGGUUGUCGUCAGCUCGUGUCGUGAGAUGUUGGGUUAAGUCCCGCAACGAGCGCAACCCUUGAACUUAGUUGCCAGCAUUUGGUUGGGCACUCUAAGGUGACUGCCGGUGACAAACCGGAGGAAGGUGGGGAUGACGUCAAAUCAUCAUGCCCCUUAUGACCUGGGCUACACACGUGCUACAAUGGGCGGUACAAAGGGCAGCGAAGUCGCGAGAUGGAGCAAAUCCCAUAAAACCGUUCUCAGUUCGGAUUGCAGGCUGCAACUCGCCUGCAUGAAGUCGGAAUCGCUAGUAAUCGCGGAUCAGCAUGCCGCGGUGAAUACGUUCCCGGGCCUUGUACACACCGCCCGUCACACCACGAGAGUUUAUAACACCCGAAGUCGGUGGGGUAACCGUAAGGAGCCAGCCGCCUAAGGUGGGAUAGAUGAUUGGGGUGAAGUCGUAACAAGGUAACCGUAA